UCCGAGUUGACCCCGGCAGUCUCCUGCGAGUCCCCGCCAUUACGCGCUGGCAACACAGGACAAGGGUUGCGCUCGUUGCGGGACUUAACCCAACAUCUCACGACACGAGCGCAACCCUCGCCUUUAGUUGCCAGCAUUGAGUUGGGCACUCUAGAGGGACUGCCGGUGAUAAGCCGGAGGAAGGUGGGGAUGACGUUCGUCUGAC
rnacentral:misc_RNA from 1 species